rnacentral:rRNA from 1 species
ACGGGGGCAGCAGUUGGGGAUAUUGCACAAUGGGGGAAACCCUGAUGCAGCGACGCCGCGUGAGUGAAUAAGUAUUUCGGUAUGUAAAGCUCUAUCAGCAGGAAAGAUAAUGACGGUACCUGACUAAGAAGCACCGGCUAAAUACGUUCCAGCAGCCGCGGUAAUACGUAUGGUGCAAGCGUUAUCCGGAUUUACUGGGUGUAAAGGGAGCGCAGACGGCAUGGCAAGCCAGAUGUGAAAGGUGGGGGCUCAACCCCCAAGCUGCAUUUGGAACUGUCAAGCUAGAGUAUCGGAGAGGUAAGUGGAAUUCCUAGUGUAGCGGUGAAAUGCGUAGAUAUUAGGAGGAACACCAGUGGCGAAGGCGGCUUACUGGACGAUAACUGACGUUGAGGCUCGAAAGCGUGGGGAGCAAACAGGAUUAGAUACCCUGGUA